GACGGAAGGUGCAAGCGUUGCUCGGAAUCACUGGGCGUAAAGGGUGCGUAGGCGGCCGCGCAAGUCUGGCGUGAAAGCCCCGGGCUCAGCCCGGGAAGGGCGUUCGAAACGGCGCGGCUCGAGUGCCGGAGGGGAGAGUGGAAUUCCUGGUGUAGCGGUGAAAUGCGUAGAUAUCAGGAGGAAUACCGGUGGCGAAAGCGACUCUCUGGACGGCAACUGACGCUGAGGCACGAAAGCGUGGGGAGCAAACAGG
rnacentral:rRNA from 1 species